rnacentral:lncRNA from 1 species
UAAAUCAAACAUUUGAAAAUUAAUGUUUUUUGCUUACGAUGGUUCAAGAAUAUUGUGAUGAUCCCUAACAAGAUUGAUAGCUUUCAUUUAAUGUCUCUAUACACAAAUAGUUUAUUGAACAGCUGUUAAAUAAAAGGGCCGUAGCUAUAAAGUUUUUAUGUGGGAACUCACCAUUCACCAAUAUACUAGCUGCAAGACAGAAGCAAAAAGAAAAAGAAAAAAAAAAUUAUAAAGUGCAAUUCAAAUCGUUAUUUGUUGAAUAAUUUAAUAUAGGGUUAAGGUGCAGAUAGGCCCCUUAAGUAGAGGCCCUUAUAGCGUUUUGCUCCCCUUACUCACUGUGUGUGCAACUAAACCCCUAAAGUUCAAAAAA